rnacentral:rRNA from 1 species
UUAGGUUGAAAACUGAGGGGAUGACUUGUGGGGAGGAGUGAAAGUCUAAUCAAACCUGGAGAUAGCUCGUUCUCUCCGAAAUAGCUUGAGGGCUAGCCUCGAGGCACUAUUUGUUGGGGGUAGAGAUACUGAUUUAGAUGGGGGCCCUUCCCGGGGUACCUCACUGAGCCAAACUCCGAAUACCAGCAAAACUAUCUCGGGAGUCAGUCCGUGGGGGAUAAGCUUCACGGUCAAGAGGGAAACAACCCAGAUCAUCUGCUAAGGUCCCGAAGAAAUACUAAGUCACUAAGGAAGUGAAAUUGCGAAGACAGCCAGGAUGUUGGCUUGGAAGCAGCCACCAUUUAAAAAGUGCGUAACAGCUUACUGGUCGAGCAAUUUUGCGCCAAUAAUGAACGGGAGUAAGUAUUUCACCGAAGCAGUGGGCUCUUUCUUUGAAAGAGCGGUAGGAGAGCGCUGUACAUCAGAUACAAGCCAUACCGGAAGGAGUGGUGUCGGGGUGUACAGGUGAUUAUGCCGGAAUGAGUAACGAUAAAACAGGUGAGAAUCCUGUUCGCCGAAAGCCUAAGGUUUCCUGGGGAAGGCAAUUCCGCCCAGGGUUAGCCGGUGCCUAAGUCGAGGCCGAAAGGCGUAGACGAUGGAUAGCGGGUCAAUAUUCCCGCGCCGUAUGUGUGGAGUGAUGGAGGGACGGCGUCCAGAAAGCGAUCAGACGGGUAGAAGUGUCUGUAGGGUAGACUGAGUAGGGGGGAUGGCAAAUCCACCCCCACAAUACAAGGUCUAAACUCGAGCUAAUUUCUGCGAAGUCGUUGGAAGGACGUCCAAGAAAAUCUUCUAAACUUUGAAGCACUGCGACCGUACUAAAACUGACACAGGUAGGCGAGACGAGUAGUCUAAGGCGCUCGGGAGAACGGUGGUUAAGGAACUCUGCAAAAUGGCCCCGUAACUUCGGGAUAAGGGGCGCCUCCGAGGGUGAAUAGCCUUUAGAGGCCACAGAAAAUCGGCUCUAGCGACUGUUUAGCAAAAACACAGGUCUCUGCUAACACGUAAGUGGAUGUAUAGAGACUGACGCCUGCCCGGUGCUGGUAGGUUAAGGGAGCAGGUUAGCUUCGGCGAAGCUUGCGACUUAAGCCCCAGUAAACGGCGGCCGUAACUAUGACGGUCCUAAGGUAGCGAAGUUCCUUGUCGGGUAAGUUCCGACCUGCAUGAAAGGCGUAACGACUGGAGCACUGUCUCAACCACCGACCCGGUGAAAUUGUAGUCGUGGUGAAGAUGCCACGUACCCACGGUUAGACGGAAAGACCCCGUGAACCUUUACUGUAGGCUAAUAUUGGGCUGAGAUUUGUUUUGUGUAGGAUAGGUGGGAGGCUAUGAGCUACCAGCGCCAGCUGGUAAGGAGCCAUCCUUGAAAUACCACCCUGAAUAUGUUUUAGUUCUAACUUCGAUCCCUUGAAGCAGGGCGAAGGACAUUGUUAGUUGGGCAGUUUGACUGGGGCGGUCUCCUCCCAAAGAGUAACGGAGGAGUUCAAAGGUACCCUCAGCCUGGUUGGCAAUCAGGCUCAAAGAGCGCAAAGGUAGAAGGGUGCUUAACUGCGAGACUUAUCAGUCGAGCAGAUACGAAAGUAGGACUUAGUGACCCGGUGGUUCCGAAUGGAAGGGCCAUCGCUCAUCAGAUAAAAGGUACUCCGGGGAUAACAGGCUUAUCGCAUCCGAGCGUCCAUAGCGGCGAUGCGGUUUGGCACCUCGAUGUCGGCUCAUCACAUCCUGGGGGUGAAGAAGCUCCCAAGGGUUUGGCUGUUCGCCAAUGAAAGUGGUACGUGAGCUGGGUUCAGACCGUCGUGAGACAGGUCGGUCCCUAUCUGCCGUGGGCGUACGAAACUUGAGGAGAUCCAAUUUUAGUACGAGAGGAUUUAAUUGGACGUAGCUCUGGUGUACCAGUUGUCGCGCUAGCGGCACGGCUGGGUAGCUAACUACGGAAAGGAUAAACGCUGAAAGCAUCUAAGCGUGAAGCCCGCUCCGAGAUUAGGUUUCGUGGCACCCCUAGGGUGUGAAAGUCCCCUGGAAGACGACCAGGUUGAUAGGCUGGGUGUGUAAGCACAGUAAUGUGUUCAGCUAACCAGUACUAAUGGACGAAUGCUUGACCAC